rnacentral:misc_RNA from 1 species
UUAUGUGGAUGAAUUGGUGAAGAAGGCAUAUGAAAAUUGGAUGCAUGUUAUAGAGUAUGAUGGCAAAACACUUCUAGACUUCAAGCAGAAUCAGAACAUUGCUUCUUCCCAAUCUGACCUGCCUGCUGGUCAACAAGAUUUUUUGAACUCAUAUGAUCAUCAGAUUACUUUGCCUACUCUAUCAGUUUCAGUUCCUCCAGAGCAGCCUGCCAUGGACUCAGUUCCAACAGUUGGAGGUUACAAUGAUAGAAUGGCUGCAAGAUCCUCAAUGCAAUCACAGAAUGGAAAUCCAAACAUGCCUUUUCAAUUUGAUGCCACUUCAUUACCUCUACAGAACCCUUUGGUCAGUACUUCACAGCAUGCACAGUUUCCAAGAAGUAACAAUUUACUGGCACUUGCUACGCCAGAGUCAUCUACGUCAAGCUUCCAAGGUGUUUGUACGCCAAACCUUAAUUCUUACAGGGGAGCUGAGGAUUUCUUCCAAGAGGAGGAGAUUCGAAUGAGAAGUCAUGAGAUGCUUGAAAAUGAAGAUAUGCAACAUCUUCUUCAUAUAUUCAACAUGGGAAGCCAGGGCCAUUCCUCUUUCAAUGCAACUGAAGAUGGCUACCCUUACUCAUCAGCAAGCGUGCCUGCCCCAUCUCCAAAUUACAGCCACGGUGAAGAUCAGUCUCGUUCAUCAGGCAAAGCUGUCAUGGGAUGGCUUAAGCUCAAGGCAGCCCUUAGAUGGGGCAUCUUUAUUAGGAAAAAGGCUGCUGAGAGGAGGGCACAGCUCGUAGAGUUGGAUGAUCCUUAAAUAUGGCUUGUGAAGCAAUAAUAGUUAAGUUUUUGGAGUUAGCAGGCUUCCUCCUUUUCGACCAAAUUCCUGUCUAAUUCAAUUAGAGACCAAGGUUUUGGAGUUGCGUGGCUUGCUAGGGGUUUAUUGGAUGUCCUGCUGUUGUUGAAUUAUAAUCCUUGACUUUUAGGACCUCUCUUUCUAUCAGUGUACAGUCCUUGAAGAUCAACUUGGUUCCAAUGGUGGUACUUGAUCGAAGCUUCUAAUAUUCAGUGGGGCAUUUCCUGAAGCUGAAAAACUCAGCCAUGGGUCUGUCUACAUUAGAGAAAAUAGAUAGGACAAAGAAUCUGAGGCUAAUAUUAUUCAUGAUUUAAUUGGCUAGUGCAGUUAUAUCUUGUUAUGGUGUUUUUCUUGGGUUCCAGCAAAAAUGAACAGCUUUUAUUGAAUAUUCCUUUGUAAAAUUAUAAUAAUUGCUGGUUUUGGGAAUGAAAUUCCUCAGUUGAAUGGUU